rnacentral:misc_RNA from 1 species
UUGUAGUAACAGCAGGCAACACUGAUACGAAUGAUUGUCCGUCUCCUCUGGGAAUGGAGGAUGGACGCAUCAAGGAUGAUCAACUUAUAACUACAACCAAUUUAAAUGGUCUAAGCGACGCUUCUCAUGGCAGAUUGAAUUAUAGGGAUGGCUAUGGUGGAUGGUGCCCUAAUCAGACGCGCAGUGGAGAUGAAACGGGA